UCGUCCAUUUCACCCACCGCUCUCUCUCUCUCUCUCUAAUCCCAACUCAUCUCUCAAAACUUCUCAUAUCUCCCUCUUCGAAUCGCCUUUCAGGGUUUGUAAUCCAUCACUGAAUCUGCACUCGUCUCUCACCAGCUAUCAAUCCACCUUCGUUUCUUAUCUUUCUCCCGAUGAUGUAGAUCUGAGGGAGCAAUUAUUCGCCAUAGCCCUCGAUUCGUUUGUAAAAAGAAGAGAUAUGUCGAAACACUAUGGAGAUGCGCUCGAUUUCGAGUGGAUGGGUGCUUUGGAAGUGUGGAUGGAAUGCAAGGUGAUUGAAGAUAAGUGCAGAGAACAUAUUCGUCGGGAUUUAACCCUAGAAGGUUCUAUGAGGCUCAGUCUCUACAGGGGUUAAGUAAAACCUUUGGUUGGACUUGGUUAUGUAGAAUCAUUUCUCAUCAAUGUGGAUUGUGUUGUGCAUAUUGUGGUUCUCGAGCUGCUCCAUUUUGUAACAGCGGCUGAAAUCUUCCCCCUAGCAGGCUUCCCCUCCUUGUUGUCUUCAAGGAGGAAUUGGAUUAUUGCUGCCCUCUCAAAUGUGGAGAGAUCUUUUCUCUUAGGCAUGGUGUAGUUUUUGUGGUUUUUGUGGUUGUAGCAGUUGUGUAAUUUGUAAAGUGGAAACUGAAUUGCUCCUUUUAUAGAGGGGAGGAAACUUGUAAAGUGUGGGAAAUUUAAAAUUCCCAAAUUUUCAAUGAAAAAACAGGUGUUUAAAAAAUCUGGCGCCUGAUUUUACUUA